UUAGCAGAAAAUGAGCUGGGUAAGGGGAGAGUCCUUGCAAUCCGAAGGCGCUGAGGCUGCUCUGUUUGUUAUUCAACAUGCAUGGACAAACAAUGAGAAUACAAGACACAGAUAACAGGCAGUUCUAGGGGAGCUGGUCUUUGAAAAGCCCCUUCAGAAAGCAUGGGUGUACUACUGUAUGUGUCCUUUAGCAUGUAGUGCACUUUUAGAGCUGUGCAUUUUUUCCCCCGUGCAGUUUAAAAUAAAUCCAACAGGGGCCGUGUUUGUUGAGCUGAUUUGACCGGUUGAUACAGAUAGCAGUGGCGAGCCUCCCUGCUUAUGUGGAAAAAAGACUAUUUUAAGUGUCAUAAUUAAGUUUAGAAUCCUUGUUUGGGCUCAUUCACUGCUCGAAAUGAGGAGGACUGGCUGCUUUUAGGUCCUUUCUGCAGGGGAUUGGCCCAACGCCUGUGCACGUUCAGUUGGAGAAGAAUGUUUUCUUUUCUAGUUUAAUAUUAGAAACUAUAUUUUUACUUGUUUAAACCGGAUUUGAUUAUUCCCGUGGAGAUUCCCCCCCGCCCCGUCUAUCACUCAAAUCUUUGUUCAUUGUUCACUGACUGUGGCAGGCUGCUUAAGAGUACAGAGACCGAGGGGGAGGCCCCCUGGCUGGUUUGAUGUUGAAAUAGUAAACCGGCAUGAGGAGGGUGGCUGGAAAAGUGGACAUUGCAGCUUUAAUUAACUUCAAGAUGCUUCAACGAGGACCAGAGCAUAGUAGUGACGUUGCCUCAUAAAUCUGUCCAGUGCAGUGUGUUGCAUUGAACUAUUACAGUAUCACCGUCAUAUUGAAUAUUCACUACCUAUCCGGAGCGGAUUUGCAUAAUUGGACCUUUUUCUUUUUUUAUGAAACUUGUUUGCAAAAACCAAACCAAACACCCAAGUGAAAACCGCGGCGAUCUGCAUGAUUAUAAAGGGUUCAAAUCUAUCCGAAAAUACAGCUCAGAGGCUCCACAUAGGCACUGGAUAUCCAGAAGACCACUAAGCAGGCGGUAAUGGUAGUCGAGAUGGGAGAUGAUGAGGGUCUGGACAAGAGUGGUGGUGGCUGUUUAGAUAGAAAAGGUUGGUUCUUUAAAAUAUUGUUCAGGAAGAAGUGGCAAGACU
rnacentral:lncRNA from 1 species